rnacentral:rRNA from 2 species
UGGGGAAUAUUGCACAAUGGGCGAAAGCCUGAUGCAGCGACGCCGCGUGAGUGAAGAAGGUCUUCGGAUCGUAAAACUCUGUCCUUGGUGAAGAAAAAAAUGACGGUAGCCAAGGAGGAAGCCCCGGCUAACUACGUGCCAGCAGCCGCGGUAAUACGUAGGGGGCGAGCGUUGUCCGGAUUUACUGGGCGUAAAGGGUGAGUAGGCGGUUGUAUAAGUCAGAUGUAAAAGGCGUAGGCUCAACUUACGUAAGCAUUUGAAACUGUACGACUUGAGUGCAGGAGAGGUAAGUGGAAUUCCUAGUGUAGCGGUGAAAUGCGUAGAUAUUAGGAGGAACACCGGCGGCGAAGGCGGCUUGCUGGACGGCAACUGACGUUGAGGCUCGAAAGCGUGGGGAGCAAACAGG